rnacentral:rRNA from 1 species
UUGCGAACGGGUGAGUAACGCGUAGGUAACCUGCCUACUAGCGGGGGAUAACUAUUGGAAACGAUAGCUAAUACCGCAUAACAGCAUUUAACCCAUGUUAGAUGCUUGAAAGGAGCAAUUGCUUCACUAGUAGAUGGACCUGCGUUGUAUUAGCUAGUUGGUGAGGUAACGGCUCACCAAGGCGACGAUACAUAGCCGACCUGAGAGGGUGAUCGGCCACACUGGGACUGAGACACGGCCCAGACUCCUACGGGAGGCAGCAGUAGGGAAUCUUCGGCAAUGGGGGCAACCCUGACCGAGCAACGCCGCGUGAGUGAAGAAGGUUUUCGGAUCGUAAAGCUCUGUUGU